GCUUAACAGUAACCCAGAAAGUGUUUGUGGCCUCCAGCCCUGUUCCUUUUCUCCUCAGCUGCCAUCACUGUCCUGCUCCUCAGUGGUUCUGACUGGAUUGUGUUUAAACCAUAUCUCCACUGAGUAUCACCAGUGAGCUGAGGACCAAGGCCUGGCAAAGCAAGAAAAAUUACCAGCAUGGAUUUGCUAAGAGAUCAAGGUCUGCAAGGACUUGUCCCUGAACUUCAGAAAGGGGUCACUUGCCAUGGAGCCACACCUAAAUAACUGGAUGAGCAGCCAAUUUUACAUCUGCACAGUAGCAAAAGAGAUAAAUCUUCCUGUCAUUAAACUUCUCUGCUGAAAAACCUCUCACCAAUGACACAGAGAAGGCAGCAGAGGGGUGAUUUUCUAGCUCUUCUGGACCUUCUUUCCCACCCUCCUGGAGCUACAAGUAUAAGCUUGACUGUCUCAUCUCCUUCAGUGCAACCAGAAUUCCAUGUCCAAAUCUUGACAGUCAAAUUGAAAACCUUGUGUCCUCUUCCCACUCCCAAAGUCAACAUGGCCCAUGAAACCUCACAGAAGGAGCAACUGGGAAUAAAAUUCUAUUUUGGGAGCCUCUCCCUCCAUCUGCAAUGGAUAACUUACUUUGCCAGAAUUUGAGAACAAAUACUUUUCCCUCCAAGAGCAUGGACACUCUUUGCAGGUAACAAUAUAUGGACCUGCUGGCAGGCAGCCAUAUAAAUGACUAUUGUAGCAGCAUCCCAUACAUCCCUUGUAAUAGAGGCUCUCAAAAAGGCCUUGUUUUUUACAUCAUUUCCCACCAUCUGACAUAAGAAUCAUUCCUGAUGCAAUUUUAACUAAACUAAUCUGUGUUUGGAGGCAAUUUUCUCCCUCAAAUAUUUCUGGGUGUUCCAUAACCAACACAAGCUGAUCAUUUGUCAUUCUCCACCAGAGAAGGUCACUGAUGACCAUUUUAGCACCUCUCAGUACUUAUCUCUCAUGAGGAAAUGAUGGUCCUCAUUGAAGGACUCAUUACUCAUUCAGUAAAAAAGUUUGCAUUAAGUUUCCAAGACAAAUUGUUCCAGAAUAUUGGUUUGCUAUUAGAUCACAGGAAAGAAAUGAUACCUAGUUGGACUUAGGAGCAUGCUGAGGUGCUGAGGAGCAGAACAAGGCUGAGAGAAACCAGGUUCUCCUGGAUCCAGAGCAGACAGAGCCAUCGAGUUCAUCUGCUAGGGUCUUUGUCACACCACUAGGAAUCAGGCCUUGGAAUAUGUUCUGUUUUUUCUAAACACUACAGGUAACAAGAAUAGACUAAUUCAGGAAUUCAGAAUUACCUGGUUUAUAGCAAGGAAACAGGGCAUGGCUGGAUUGGGUCCAUGUUUCUACCCCCAGCCAAAGCAUACCACACUCUUAGAGGAGAAUUUCUUGCUUCACAUCACUUGGUUGUCAAAAAGCACUAGAAAGGUUCCCAAGAGUGUUUGCUGUGGCCUCUACCUCUUGGGCCAUUACGUGGCAUGAACUCCUAGGAAUGUGAUUUCACAUUGCUACCCAGACCUUUAGAGCUACUUUGAGACCUACCUAGUCCUCAAGAGACAGAAUCCAGGUGGAGGGUUUGGAAGUAUCUGCAGCAAAACUGACACAGAAGGCACAGCUGCUGCGU
rnacentral:lncRNA from 1 species